AGAGUUUGAUCCUGGCUCAGGAUGAACGCUGGCGGCGUGCCUAACACAUGCAAGUCGAGCGAUUUUCUUCGGAAGAGAGCGGCGGACGGGUGAGUAACGCGUGGGUAACCUGCCUCAUACACAUGGAUAACAUACCGAAAGGUAUGCUAAUACAAGAUGAUAUAAGAGAUUCGCAUGGAUUUCUUAUCAAAGCUCCGGCGGUAUGAGAUGGACCCGCGUCUGAUUAGCUAGUUGGUAAGGUAACGGCUUACCAAGGCGACGAUCAGUAGCCGACCUGAGAGGGUGAUCGGCCACAUUGGAACUGAGACACGGUCCAAACUCCUACGGGAGGCAGCAGUGGGGAAUAUUGCACAAUGGGCGAAAGCCUGAUGCAGCAACGCCGCGUGAGCGACGAAGGCCUUCGGGUCGUAAAGCUCUGUCCUCCAAGGAAGAUAAUGACGGUACUUGAGGAGGAAGCCCCGGCUAACUACGUGCCAGCAGCCGCGGUAAUACGUAGGGGGCUAGCGUUAUCCGGAUUUACUGGGCGUAAAGGGUGCGUAGGUGGUUUCUUAAGUCAGGAGUGAAAGGCUACGGCUCAACCGUAGUAAGCUCUUGAAACUGGGAAACUUGAGUGCAGGAGAGGAAAGUGGAAUUCCUAGUGUAGCGGUGAAAUGCGUAGAUAUUAGGAGGAACACCAGUAGCGAAGGCGGCUUUCUGGACUGUAACUGACACUGAGGCACGAAAGCGUGGGGAGCAAACAGGAUUAGAUACCCUGGUAGUCCACGCCGUAAACGAUGAGUACUAGGUGUCGGGGGUUACCCCCCUCGGUGCCGCAGCU
rnacentral:rRNA from 1 species